ensembl:lncRNA
UUAAAAAUCAAUGCAUUAACCAUUUUUAUUUCACCAUUUUGAGGAAAACAUGGCUGUACAUGAACAAUACUCAGUUAUUCAGAUACCUGAAUACAGCUACAGAUAAGGGAGGCAUACAGCUGACAUGUUCGGGGGAGGUGAAGGAAAGACCCUCUCUUGGCUUUGCGUCUAGUUCGGGCAGAGCUCGGCACUCUGAGCCCUUAGCCUCACAGUCACACAAACCUGGGACUUGUGCUGCAGCCGAUCUUCUACCCUGGACCGAGUUCAAAGCCUACACAGGCACAUAAAAAUCUAUUUCUUGCACAGCACAGCACGUUGGCGUUUGCUAAAAUUGACUUUCUCAACAAAUGUUGCAGUGGUAUAAUCAAUCAGUCAAUGAGAAACAAUGAAACACUGAAAUUAAAAUAAAAAGUAAAAUUUCAAGUAGACAUGACAGAAAUCAACUGUGAAGGAUAAUUUGCUAUUCUCCUAGGAAAGCUUCGAUAUGUACAGUACAGAGCUGUAGUGAUUUCUGUAGCAGCCUACCUGAUGUGAAAUCAUUGUGUUGCCAGAAGGAGUGAGGCAAUGCUUGCUUGCAAAUAAGAUUGGCACUUUUACUGCAAGGUUAAAUAGUGUAUGCUCUCUAACACAUACAGCCUACAGCAAAUUUAAGUUUCUGGAGUGAUGGCUUUGCUUCAUAAAUAAAAUGCUGCUCUGCUACAAUAAUUAUUCUCAAUCAUCAUAAAAAUGCAUUGAAGUCAUAGCACAGUGAAAACAAAACAUUUGCCUGCUGCACACAGGGAUUUGGGGUGCAGAUGGACUGAGAACCAUUUUGAAAGUUGUAUCUUGCCAUUAGUUUGAAAAUGCAACAUUGCGUCCCUUCUCAUGCAAAAUGCACUUUAUUUGUUUUGUGAUGGUUGCGACGAGCAGCGAGCUGCAGCAUUUGGAGAGUAGGAGCCUUUAUAGUCUUCAGAGAGUCCUGAUGUAAUAUGUGGAGUUCUGGAUGUUGGAUUCUGGGAGGUUGAACGGAAAACAGCCAUCUGUGUUAUUCC